rnacentral:rRNA from 1 species
UAGGGAAUCUUCCACAAUGGACGAAAGUCUGAUGGAGCAACGCCGCGUGAGUGAAGAAGGGUUUCGGCUCGUAAAGCUCUGUUGGUAGUGAAGAAAGAUAGAGGUAGUAACUGGCCUUUAUUUGACGGUAAUUACUUAGAAAGUCACGGCUAACUACGUGCCAA